GGGAUAGCCCGCAAGUAGCCGCUUCGCCCACGACCCCCGCUCCUCCGGGUUCCUGUUCCUGGGAGGAAGUCGGGCAAUGAGUGGGUGCGAGCAGCCGGAAGUGUGGCGCUGCGCAAAAGCGAACCUUCCUGCCUUCCCUUAACUCUUCGUUGCGACGCGUGGAAAAGGUUUGCCCGCGGCCGCGAUGGUUGACACCGGGCGAAAGAAACGAAGUGGCGGAUCCCGACACCCAAAAACACCGCCGGGCAGAGGGAUCCUGCUCAAGGCCCCCGAUCCUUCUGUCAGCACUGGGCGUCCGGCGCGUGGAAGUGUCACUUUUGGACCGCCGUUCCCAGAAUCCCAAGCCAGCGCCUUCGACCUGGUCCCUCGGCUUGGUCCCUACCUCGCAGGGUUGUUUUGGUGAUAGAGAGAAAGAGGAGAGCUCAGUACGCGCCACCUUGAGCUCCCUCGACAAAGAAGUAAAAUAAGCAAAUGUAACAAACAAAUGAAGAGUACCUGGAAAUGCCCGGUGCUAUGUGCAUCUAGAUAUCUACAGUGGAUUCAAUAAGAAUCUGAACCGUCAACAUCAGAGGCUCGAAUCUCGCUAUAGCAGCAGUUCUGGAGGAUCAUAUGAAGAGGAAAAAAAGACAUUGUUCUUUGAUUCUCUUAAUAAUGCAUAUUUUGAUAGUUGAUGACACACACAAGUAGUGUUAGCUGAAAAACUUUGCUUGAUAUUUGCUUGCUGUGCGGCCAGCGUCAUGCUGCUUCAUUGGGUGAACCAGCCAUCAAAUGUUCUGGUUCCUCCCUCUUGUCUUCCAGCAUGUGUACAGAUGGACUAGCACUUAUGUGUUUGUAAAAUAUGCUGUGUUCUAAGCAUCUUUUCUCUAGCUGCAGAAAUCUAGAACGUAAAACAUCAUAGCUCUUUCCAUGGUGUGAGUUAGCACUUGAUUUCAAAUCAAGAACCAGGAGAAGUCUGAGAAAAAUCCAAAGCAGAUGAUUUAGAGACUGGGUAGAGGAGCUUCCCCUCCAAAAGGGGAAGCUUUUGGAGCUCCUGAAGUGGUCUUGGGCCAAUCCUAUGUGGAUUUAUAGACCUGGUGGCUUGAAAUUCUAACUCAGCAGAGUUAAGAAUUAUUGGAAGAUACUGGAAGAAUUAAAUUCGGGGAAAUAGACACUGAAGAAACAUAGUGGUCACUGAAAGAAGUGACAGGAUCAGUUUUAAAGCAUUUCCUGAGGUAAAUGUUUCAAGGUACAGUAAUUGUAAGGAAAUACAUAUAUUCCCAAAAGACUAAAAAGUCAAAAAUAGAAACCCAAAUUUGCAACAAAGGCUAGCUCCCCACAGAUGCUGCUAGUAGCAAUGGUGGCAUUGAGAGGUAGCCAGCCUAUCCAGGUGGGUCUGAAGGAGGAGGUGCUAGACGGGUGGUAGUGGGGAGUCAUUGCAAUGUGACCGUUGACUUGGCAAGUGGCAAUGUAACUGAAGAACAGCUUAUGUUGAAAUCUUUUUUCCCUUAAAAAAUGUUACGUUGUAAAUAAAGAGAAGCUGUU